rnacentral:rRNA from 1 species
AUUGAACGCUGGCGGCAUGCCUUACACAUGCAAGUCGAGCGGCAGCGCGGGGGCAACCCUGGCGGCGAGCGGCGGACGGGUGAGUAAUACAUCGGAACGUGUCCUUUCGUGGGGGAUAACCAGUCGAAAGACUGGCUAAUACCGCAUGAGAUCUCACGAUGAAAGCGGGGGACCCGCAAGGGCCUCGCGCGAUUGGAGCGGCCGAUGUCGGAUUAGCUAGUUGGCGGGGUAAGAGCCCACCAAGGCGACGAUCCGUAGCUGGUUUGAGAGAACGACCAGCCACACUGGGACUGAGACACGGCCCAGACUCCUACGGGAGGCAGCAGUGGGGAAUUUUGGACAAUGGGGGCAACCCUGAUCCAGCCAUGCCGCGUGUGUGAAGAAGGCCUUCGGGUUGUAAAGCACUUUCGGCCGGAACGAAAUCGCGCGGAUUAAUAACCCGCGUGGAUGACGGUACCGGAAGAAGAAGCACCGGCUAACUACGUGCCAGCAGCCGCCGUAA